UACGUAGGGGGCAAGCGUUGUCCGGAUUUAUUGGGCGUAAAGAGCGUGUAGGCGGCCAAGCAGGUCCGCUGUGAAAACUCGAGGCUCAACCUCGAGCUGCCGGUGGAAACUGUCUGGCUAGAGUCCGGAAGAGGAGAGUGGAAUUCCUGGUGUAGCGGUGAAAUGCGCAGAUAUCAGGAAGAACACCUAUGGCGAAGGCAGCUCUCUGGGACGGUACUGACGCUGAGGAGCGAAAGCAUGGGUAGCGAACAGG
rnacentral:rRNA from 1 species